rnacentral:rRNA from 1 species
UACGGAGGGUGCGAGCGUUGUCCGGAAUCACUGGGCGUAAAGGGCGCGUAGGCGGCCUGAUAAGUAGGGGGUGAAAUCCUGCGGCUUAACCGCAGGGCUGCCUUCUAAACUGUCGGGCUCGAGCACAGUAGAGGCAGGUGGAAUUCCCGGUGUAGCGGUGGAAUGCGUAGAGAUCGGGAAGAACAUCGGUGGCGAAAGCGCUCUACUGGACUGCAACUGACACUCAGGGACGAAAGCUAGGGGAGCGAAUGGG